GUGCCCUAAGCCUCCCGAUUCCUUCCUCUUCCUCCCCUCUCGCGACGCAACCCGAUCCCUUCGUCUCCCCCAACCCGCGACGCUUCCUCCUCCUCUCCCCCGUGUACAAAAGCAGUGGCCAAGGAGACGAAUCCUUUCUCUACCCAACUCCUCCUCUCCUCUUCAUUCGCUGCACUCUCCUUCUCAUGUGAUCACCGCCGACUAGCUGUCCACUCCACGUCGCGCUGCCCCUUCACAGGUGCUAGCCCGCAGCCAUCACUGCCAACCGCGACCAGCGUCGGGUUACCACGGCCGGCCAGUAUCUCUCAGUCUCCUCGUGCCAAGCAACAUCGCCGCCAUUCCGAUCCAAAGCCGUGCUCUAACUUCCACCCGAUUUCCUUUUUUCCUUCUCCUUUUCCGAUCGCCGGAUCUCGUCAUCGCUUUAGAUCCAACGCUGGCCGGGGGUCAUUGGCCAAGGGCAGGGGGCCUAGAUCUAGCCGUCGAUCCACUCCAUCGCUGGCCGAGACCUUCAUCUUCUCCUCUGGUUACUUGAGAUUCUCCAACAAUUCCCACCUGAGUCGCUGCCUUGCUCAGAUUGACCAUCGGCCAAGAGGGGGGAGGAUCCAAGUCUCUUUGUCACAGCACCUGGGGGUCGCACCUCAAACCAGUUGACUAUUGUCAGAGAGGAAGAGAAUUGGGCAACUUCAUUGUGACGCCCACCACCAGUUUUGGCGAUGAGUUUCUGUAGCUGUGAAGCAUAUGUUAGGAUAUCAACUCGGGUUGAAGCUGUCAGGAGGUUUCAGUCGCUAGUCCCCACCCUGAGUCGCGACGAUUUUCUAUCUUUGAACUUUUGGUUUCCUUGUUAUGUUCCUAUAAUAUUAUGAUGUGUGGUUGUACUCGAGGAUUUUUAUAUCAAGUUUUGGUCUACUACCUUUGUUUUUCCGCUACGAUGGUUUUUCGUUGUGGGUUGUGUUUUUCUCGAGUAGUGGUAUAGGUUUAUUAAACUGUGUGGUUGUGAAUUGUUGUGUAGUCAGCCGGAGGCUGAAUUAUAUAAACUGCGUGAUUGUUUAAAUAUUUUAUUGUAUAUGUUCUGGU